GAUGAACGCUGGCGGCGUGCCUAAUACAUGCAAGUCGAGCGAACGGACGAGAAGCUUGCUUCUCUGAUGUUAGCGGCGGACGGGUGAGUAACACGUGGAUAACCUACCUAUAAGACUGGGAUAACUUCGGGAAACCGGAGCUAAUACCGGAUGAUAUUUUGAACCGCAUGGUUCAAAAGUGAAAGACGGUCUUGCUGUCACUUAUAGAUGGAUCCGCGCUGCAUUAGCUAGUUGGUAAGGUAACGGCUUACCAAGGCAACGAUGCAUAGCCGACCUGAGAGGGGGAUAGGCCACACUGGAGCUUAGACGCGGUCCAGACUCCUACGGGAGGCAGCAGUAGGGAAUCUUCCGCAGUGGGCGAAAGCCUGACGGAGCAACGCCGCGUGAGUGAUGAAGGUCUUCGGAUCGUAAAACUCUGUUAUUAGGGAAGAACAUAUGUGUAAGUAACUGUGCACAUCUUGACGGUACCUAAUCAGAAAGCCACGGCUAACUACGUG
rnacentral:rRNA from 1 species